AACGAACGCUGGCGGCAUGCCUAACACAUGCAAGUCGAACGAGACCUUCGGGUCGAGUGGCGAACGGGUGCGUAACGCGUGGGAACCUGCGAUUAGGUUCGGAAUAACUCCCCGAAAGGGGUGCUAAUACCGGAUAAUGUCUUCGGACCAAAGAUUUAUCGCCUUUGGAUGGGCCCGCGUUGGAUUAGCUAGUUGGUAGGGUAAAAGCCUACCAAGGCGACGAUCCAUAGCUGGUCGGUGAGGAGGAUCAGCCACACUGGGACUGAGACACGGCCCAGACUCGUACGGGAGGCGGCAGUGGGGAAUAUUGGACAAUGGGCGAAAGGCUGAUCCAGCAAGGCCGCGUUAGUGAUGAAGGCCUUAGGGUUGUAAAGCUCUUUUACCCGGGAUGAUAAUGACAGUACCGGGAGAAUAAGCUCCGGCUAACUCCGUG
rnacentral:rRNA from 1 species